rnacentral:piRNA from 1 species
UCUUAGGUUGGAUGCCUGAUUGAGUCAAGU